rnacentral:rRNA from 1 species
UACGUAGGGACCGAGCGUUGUCCGGAUUCAUUGGGCGUAAAGAGCUCGUAGGCGGCCACUCAAGUCGAAUGUGAAACCUCGAGGCUCAACCUCGAGCCUGCAUUCGAUACUGGGCGGCUAGAGUCUGGUAGGGGGAUCUGGAAUUCCUGGUGUAGCGGUGGAAUGCGCAGAUAUCAGGAGGAACACCAAUGGCGAAGGCAGCUCUCUGGGACGGUACUGACGCUGAGACGCGAAAGCGUGGGGAGCGAACAGG